UUUUAGUUUGCCAACUCGAGGCUGUUGUGCAGGCUGGAGGAAGAGAAACAGGAGCUGCUCUGUGGUCUGCAGGGAGCUGUUCAGCGUUUCUCCACACUGUGCCAGUUUUGGUGUGGUGCUUGAAUAGCUGAAUGGAGAAAGAGUCACUUUGUGAGAAGCAGAAGGCCAAACCUGUAAUCCGACUCAGAGGAGGUCUUCAUCCAGCUGAGUUCGCUGCUUGAGGGUGAAGAGAGUUGGAAAGAGUGACGCCACUAGCAGAAAUGCAUCUUUACUCACAUUCAGUGCUGAGCAGUGAAGAAGAUCAAGUCGUGGGCUGGAGGUUAGGGAAUCAGCCUUAUGACCGGAAGGUUGCCAGUUCG